rnacentral:rRNA from 1 species
UACAGAGGGGGCAAGCGUUAUUCGGAAUUAUUGGGCGUAAAGGGCGCGUAGGCGGCUAUCCAAGUGGCGGGUGAAAUCCCUCGGCUUAACCGAGGAACUGCCUGCCAGACUGGAUGGCUCGAGACCGGGAGAGGUGAGUGGAAUUCCCAGUGUAGCGGUGAAAUGCGUAGAUAUUGGGAGGAACACCAGUGGCGAAGGCGGCUCACUGGACCGGUACUGACGCUGAGGCGCGAAAGCGUGGGGAGCGAACAGG